rnacentral:lncRNA from 1 species
GGAGAUGGUGCCCUGAUAGAACUGGACCUGAAGCUCUGCACUUGUGUGCUUCAAUACAAACCAGGUUUCUGGACUCACACAGACUUGAAACCAAAGCCAGGCUUGACCACAGAUAGUUCGAGGCUCCAGGAUGUUCCUGAGAUGGCGAAGCUGGCAUCCCUCACGGUCUGAAGGCAGGGGAGGCCCUGAGCUAGCCAAGGAGACCUCACACUGGAACACGAUGAAACUGUCUGUCAGAUGAGGCUCUGCAAAGUGAGUCAUCUGAUGGCGCCAAGCUGCUCACGGCUUAUUAGACAGUAACACGGCGUGCACUCCAGAGCCUCCACUUCCAAACACAGCCAGUGGUGAGCGUGUUCUCGGAGUCACAAAGAUCACAUGCAGAGAGCCUUGGAGCAGGAGGGGAACCCAGAGGGCCUUGGAGAUCAGAGGCCCAGAGAGGGAAAGCGACCUGCCCAGGACCUCCUAGUAAACUGAUGAGACACGGUUUGAGAACCCUCUUUUUCGCCAGCCUGCACACCUCUGUCCUUAUGUUGCACACGCCCACGUGCCUCUGGCUGUCUUGGGGGCUCUGGAUUCGAUGGCUGGGCUUUCCCUCUCAAUGCAGGAGCCCUCAGUCGGUAAGCCUGCUCACCCCCUUGCUGAGCACCCCCUGGAAGCAAGAAAAUUGGAAAGAGACAGCUGGGCUGGAGUCUUAACUAUUUUAAUAACGUUUGGUACCAUGGCUGUUGCUGGGAGAUUAGCAGGGAAAUGUAACGGUGUGUAAUUUUUCCUAAGAAUUGCAUUAACAAAAUCAAAUGGGCAGAUGGAGGUGGAAGUUGGGGGGCAGGGAUAGAGCGCUUUCUGGAGGCUUCCUUGGGAGGGAGUUUCUAGGCUCAGGACCUCAGCAAAGCUCUGGGGUGUAAGUGAGAGCUUUCCUUGGGCCAUCUCUCAUCUUUCCUAUCCCUGCCUGUCCUCCAUGUGGGAGGAGAGGCAAGGCAGGGGAAAGAGAAGAAGGACUGGGUUCAAAUUUCUAUCCUGCUGCUUUCUCACGGGGGGGGGGGGGGGGNNGGGGGGGGCUUAGAUAAGUGGCUUUACCUCUCUUGAGUGUGUGCUUCCUUGCCUGUAGCUAGGGGUAGCCAUGCAAGGCUCUUCCAGGGAUCAGGAUGCUAAGCGUGGUGUCUGAUGCAGAGUGGCCUGGGAUGGACGCCUGUCUGGUUAACUCUCCAAAUGUCCACUCUCUGGCCCACCCAGAUCAUACCAUCUACCUCUCAUGCUCCACUUUCUAUAGCAGGAGGCUUCUCUGCAUGUCAGGCCAGGGCUGCGGCCAAGGACAAGGCCAGAGAAGGCAGGACCUCUUUCCUGCAUACAGGGAGCUGAGAAGGCCAGGCAUUCACAUCUACUUUUCUUCAGCCUGGCAGCAGAUUUAAGACACUACAGAGUGUGCUCUCAGCCAGAAUCACCCGAUCUGUCUCAAAAACCCUGAGAGAAAGGGGGCUACUGGGCCCCAUUUUACAGAUGGGGAAACUGAGGCUCGGACAGAUUGUCAGCAGGUCAGUAGCAGAAUUAAAAAUGGAGCAGAAAUACCAGAUGGGAAAUCCCAAAUUCUUCUUGCAACAUUCCUUUGUCAUAUAUCUUCCAUCCAACUUUUUACACAUUUUCUCAUUUUCUCUUUGGUUUGCUUUUGCACCAUCAACUAGACUGUAAGCUGCUUGAGGGUAGACCUUUGUGCUUACCCACUACGUUUCAUGAGACUUGGCACACAGCAUGUGCUCAGGUAAGACAUCAAAUUAAAUGGGCAGAGACCUGGUGAGGUACUAUUUCCUUAGUAAGUCCAGGCUCCGAGUUGUCCCUUUCUCCCACACUCCAGCCUACAUACACACACGCCACACACACAUGCCACGCACGCAUACACGGCUUGCAGAAUCUAAUAACAACCAGUUUAAAAACAUACUAAAAACAGAAAAUUUAUGUAGCAUGACCCAAAUUGAAUUAUACAUUACAGCACUAUAAUUGAUUUUUUAGA